AACAAGGGUAAGGGAGGAUUUCUCCCCCCUCUGAUGAGUUGUUAGUAAGUCGGGAAACUUAACAGUAACAACACAACCAGUAUGAUGACGAGCUUCAUCAUAACCCUUUCCUUAUACAAGGCCCCUUCUUCGGGAGGGGCUU
rnacentral:antisense_RNA from 1 species